rnacentral:misc_RNA from 1 species
GGUAAGUAUCAUGUUACAGCAAACAAACAACAAAUCCCAUUAUACCAAACAUACUUCGAAUGCACUAUUGAUGUGAGACUUGAAUUGUUAACAACUUCACUUCAUGGAUUCCACCAAGUUAAUAAUUCAGCUAUCCUAUCGAGUUCACACUAAAAUCUAUGAAAUUUGCAAGAAACCAAAAAUACCUUCCUAUUAUGGUCUAGUUUCAAGAUUAGGAAUGACAAAUAAAAAGGUUCCCUCCCUAACCCGUAUAUAUAACAAUAUGAAAGAUGUCGUCAUGCAUAAUAAACACAUGGCAUUUUCUCCUCAUAUUUAGGACUCAAUUUGAAGAAGGCUUACAAUGUGCAAGAAUAAGAUCCAAUACAAGCACAUGAUGAAAAUAUUAUGAACUCCAUUUUUCUUAAUUUUCUCGUCACCCUAUUUUGCUCUGCUACACCCAGUCAGAAGGUUUGGGUACGAAAAAAUCAAGAACCUACUUUUUCAACAAACCAGCAAGCUCACCCUUUUCAUCCAUGGAAGUUAAGAUAUCACAUCCUCCUAUCAACUCCCCAUUGACAAAAAUUUGUGGGAACGUAGGCCAGUUGCUAUACUUCUUCAAUGUCUCCCUCAAUCCAUAAUUAUAUUCUUCAUCCAGCACGUCUACGCUUUCAUAAUCUAUUCCUUGGCUUUCAAGAAUGCCGAUUACCCUUUGAGAGAAUCCACACAAUGGGGCACUUCGUGAUCCCUUGAUAAAGGCCACCACCCUGUUCUCCUUGACUAAUUUCCCAAUAAGCUCCUCCAGUGGAACUGUUAGCUGGACAUGACGGCCAGGUGUAAGUCGGAGAUCAGGCUUCUUCUUUGGUGGUUGCCUGAUCCACGUAGCAUUCCCUGAUUGAUUGCCUGGUGGAACCUUUCCAGUGGUUUUUAUAUGUUCUUCCAUCCAUGAUUUCCAAGCUUGAGUAAGUGACUCUCUAUCAGGUUCAUCUACUACCCCAAACUUAACGAAGGAACAAAGGUCCGGCACCGACUUCAGGUGUGAGAAAACGCUAGCCCCAAUGUUCCGGGAGAUGCCAAUGAAUUGAAGAUCAUCGUUCUUAUCAUAAACGGCGUAAACACCCGAUUCUGACGGCAAUUUUUUAGAGAACUCAUCAGCUGUUAAAGGUACCGCUACUAAAUCCGUCUCGGCGAGGUUCUUGACGGCUGCAGCGACAAUUAGAGAACAAGGUCUAAUUGGGUUGUAGGGUUUUAAAGAAAUGGAAGGAAAGGGGAUGAAGGGCUUAGAGAGUGAAUGGAAUGAGAGGUUGGGGGUACUUUGAGGAGUAUGCGAAGAUAGUAAACGAGGAGAAAGAGAAGCUUGCACUGGAGAGAGGCUGACGGCGGCCAUGGAAAUGAAUGAGAACUGAGAAGGCGAACCUGAGACUUCACUUGAGAACAGAGGUCACAGCAGACAUGAACGGC